ACGAACGCUGGCGGCGUGCUUAACACAUGCAAGUCGAACGGAAAGGCCCUGCUUUUGUGGGGUGCUCGAGUGGCGAACGGGUGAGUAACACGUGAGUAACCUGCCCUUGACUUUGGGAUAACUUCAGGAAACUGGGGCUAAUACCGGAUAGGAGCUCCUGCUGCAUGGUGGGGGUUGUAAAGUUUCGGCGGUUGGGGAUGGACUCGCGGCGUAUCAGCUUGUUGGUGGGGUAGUGGCUUACCAAGGCUUUGACGGGUAUCCGGCCUGAGAGGGUGACCGGCGACAUUGAGAAGGAGAUAAGGACCAGACUCCUACGGAGGGCAGGAGUGGGGAAUAUUGCACAAUGGGCGGAAGCCUGAUGCAGAAACGCCGCGUGCGGGAUGACGGCCUUCGAGUGGUAAACCGAUUUCGCCUGUGACGAAGCGUGAGUGACGGUAAUGGGUAAAGAAGCACCGGCUAACUACGUG
rnacentral:rRNA from 1 species